CUUAGGUGCCCUCCCUUAGAUGAAAAUCCUAAUCCUUGCCUAUAAAAAAGGUGACCCUCUUCUUGGCAUCACAUCAAUUCCUCCCUUGCUGGUUUUGUUUUUCCAAAGCUCUUCUCAUCUUUCUCUCUUUUUCCUCCAAAUAUCCUCUUGCUUUAGAGUGUCUAAGGUGUUUAAAGAAGAAGGAAGAAAUCAGCCAUCAAAGUUCCUUGCAGGCUAGCACCUCCAAGGAUCCUGAUCUGUGCCAGUCUUCAUGUGAAUUUUUUGUAGAGGCCAGACUACUUCGUGUAGCUGCAAGC
rnacentral:lncRNA from 1 species